UACGUAGGGUGCAAGCGUUAAUCGGAAUUACUGGGCGUAAAGCAUGCGCAGGCGGUUAUGUAAGACAGAUGUGAAAUGCCCGGGCUUAACCUGGGAACUGCAUUUGUGACUGCAUGGCUAGAGUUUGGCAGAGGGGGGUAGAAUUCCACGUGUAGCAGUGAAAUGCGUAGAUAUGUGGAGGAACACCGAUGGCGAAGGCAGCCCCCUGGGUCAAGACUGACGCUCAUGCACGAAAGCGUGGGGAGCAAACAGG
rnacentral:rRNA from 1 species